GUGUGUGUGUGUGUGUGUGUGUGUGUGUGUGUGUGGAAGUAGCUCCUUAAGGUUAUGGAGAUUGUAUAACUUCUGGCUAUGUGUACUGUACAGUAUUGUGUGUAGGACUUUUUAAAAGUUCAUGUUUAAAACACUGAAAUGUUGCACUCAAAUUGUGAAAAACAAAUCAUACACAUAAGGUUGAUUAAACCAGAAAUUCAAUUAUAUGCAUGAUGGUGUGACAGAGUCUACCGCUUUUUUAAAUGACGGACCACAAAUGUCACUUAUUGGUGCAGUGCAGUUGUCUUUCACCUCAUACAUACUGUA